rnacentral:rRNA from 1 species
GCGAACAUGUGAGUGCAAGCGAAUCCCAAAAAUAACGUCUCAGUUCGGAUUGUAGUCUGCAACUCGACUACAUGAAGCUGGAAUCGCUAGUAAUCGCGAAUCAGAAUGUCGCGGUGAAUACGUUCCCGGGUCUUGUACACACCGCCCGUCACACCAUGGGAGUCAGUAACGCCCGAAGCCGGUGACCUAACCGAAAGGGAGGAGCCGUCGAAGGUGGGACCGAUAACUGGGGUGAAGUCGUAACAAGGUAAC